rnacentral:rRNA from 1 species
UACGAAGGGUGCAAGCGUUACUCGGAAUUACUGGGCGUAAAGGGUGCGUAGGUGGUUGUUUAAGUCUGUUGUGAAAGCCCCGGGCUCAACCUGGGAAUGGCAAUGGAUACUGGACAGCUAGAGUGCGGUAGAGGGUAGUGGAAUUCCAGGUGUAGCGGUGAAAUGCGUAGAUAUCUGGAGGAACACCGGUGGCGAAGGCGGCAUCCUGGACCAACACUGACGCUGAGUGAGCGAAAGCCAGGGGAGCAAACGGG